UAUGAAAAUGUCUUAAAUUGCUGUAGUAUUUUGACUUUACAAAGGUAUUGUAAUAAGGUUUUAAUUGAAUGCUAAAAGAAUGGAAUUACAGGGAAAAGUUUUUUUAAAUUUAAUAAUUGAAGUUAUUUUAAUUUGUGAAGAAACAAUUAUAUAAAUUAAAGACAAGAAGACCCUAAGAAUUUAAGAAUUUUUAUUAAUAUAUUAUAUGUAUAUAUAUAUAUAAAUAAAAUUCUUAGUUGGGGCAACUAAAAAAUAUAUUAAACUUUUUUUUAAAAAAAAUGACCCAUUAUUAAUGAUAAUAUGAAAAAAAUACUCUAGGGAUAACAGCGUAAUAAUUUUUGAUAGAUCUUAUAGACAAAAUAGUUUGCGACCUCGAUGUUGGAUUAGGAUACUUUUUUAAUGAAGAUGUUAAAAAAAGAAGUUUGUUCAACUUUUAAAUUCUUACAUGAUCUGAGUUUAGACCGAUGAAGAAUGAGGA
rnacentral:rRNA from 1 species